UUUGAAGCAUGGUCUGACCGUUAAAGUUUGGAUAUCCAUCAUCAGUGACUGAAGUGGAAGAGAGAAUGGCAGAUCGAAUUAGCCUACUGAAGGAUCAACACGGAAUUUCAAAAGAAUCACAAUUGUCCCACUUCAAUCCAAGUUCCUGUCUCCAAGCAAUGAUUAAGCAAAUUACUGAUUGUGAUAUUGAUGCUGGCCGAGUGUCUCCUGAAGGGACUCUGUAUCUACACGGGGGAAGAUCCUGAAAACUUUGUGCAGGAAUAUGUGGGCAUGGAUGAAGUUGAUGUCAUUGAAGACAACUGUUGGGGUUUAUGUCCUGAGAGAACAUGAGUCAAGUGAACCAGAGGACAUUGGGGUUGUACUCCAAGGAAUAAAGUUUUGACAGAUCUACAUGGCAUACCGUUCACUAUGAUGUCGGAGUUGAUAACCUCAUGUACCUGCCUGUCCUUAGAUACACC